rnacentral:rRNA from 1 species
AGUUUGAUCCUGGCUCAGAUUGAACGCUGGCGGCAUGCCUAACACAUGCAAGUCGAACGGUAGCAGGCCUUCGGGCGCUGACGAGUGGCGGACGGGUGAGGAAUACAUAGGAAUCUGCCUUUUAGUGGGGGAUAACCCGGAGAAAUCCGGGCUAAUACCGCAUAAGCACUACGGUGGAAAGCAGGGGAUCGCAAGACCUUGCGCUAAUAGAUGAGCCUAUGUCUGAUUAGCUAGUUGGUGGGGUAAAGGCCUACCAAGGCGACGAUCAGUAGCUGGUCUGAGAGGACGACCAGCCACACUGGGACUGAGACACGGCCCAGACUCCUACGGGAGGCAGCAGUGGGGAAUAUUGGACAAUGGGGGCAACCCUGAUCCAGCAAUGCCGCGUGUGUGAAGAAGGCCUUCGGGUUGUAAAGCACUUUCAGCAGGGAGGAAAAGCUUGAGGCUAAUAUCCUUGAGUCUUGACGUUACUUGCAGAAGAAGCACCGGCUAACUCUGUGCCAGCAGCCGCGGUAAUACAGAGGGUGCAAGCGUUAAUCGGAAUUACUGGGCGUAAAGCGCGCGUAGGUGGUUUGAUAAGUCGGAUGUGAAAUCCCCGGGCUUAACCUGGGAACUGCAUUCGAAACUGUCUGGCUAGAGUUUGAGAGAGGGAAGUGGAAUUCCACAUGUAGCGGUGAAAUGCGUAGAUAUGUGGAGGAACAUCAGUGGCGAAGGCGGCUUCCUGGCUUAAAACUGACACUGUGGCGCGAAAGCGUGGGUAGCAAACAGGAUUAGAUACCCUGGUAGUCCACGCCGUAAACGAUGAGAACUAGACGUUGGGAGGUUUAACCUUUUAGUGUCGCAGCUAACGCAAUAAGUUCUCCGCCUGGGGAGUACGGCCGCAAGGCUAAAACUCAAAUGAAUUGACGGGGGCCCGCACAAGCGGUGGAGCAUGUGGUUUAAUUCGAUGCGACGCGAAAAACCUUACCUGCUCUUGACAUCUAUGGAAUCCUGCAGAGAUGCGGGAGUGCCUUCGGGAACCAUAAGACAGGUGCUGCAUGGCUGUCGUCAGCUCGUG